GCGCAGCAGUCGAGAAAACUUCACAAUGUGCGAAAGCACGAUGAGGGAAUCCCCAAGUGCUUGCACGUAAGUGUAAGCUGUUUCUCUGUCUAAAACGCAGAGAGAGUAAGGGCUGGGUAAGACGGGUGCCAGCCGCCGCGGUAAUACCUGCAGCUCGAGUGGUGACCGUUAUUAUUGGGCCUAAAACGUCCGUAGCCGGUUUAAUAAAUGCCUGGGUAAAUCGGACCGCUUAACAGUUCGAAUUCCGGGUAGACUGUUAAACUUGAGACCGGGAGAAGUUAGAGGUACUCCUGGGGUAGAGGUGAAAUUCUGUAAUCCUAGGGGGACCACCAGUGGCGAAGGCGUCUAACUAGAACGGGUCUGACGGUGAGGGACGAAGCCCUGGGGCGCAAACGGGGAUUAGAUACCCGUGUAGU
rnacentral:rRNA from 1 species